GCUCAUUUGAGUUGAGUGCCAUUCCACAUAUUGUCCGCUAGAUGGCGUUCAUAGCGCAGUGGUAGAGAGUAGACUCACGCAUCAGAGGAAGAAUAAACUCUCGCUAUUCUUUACCACAGGUCCCAGAAGCAAAAGAUGUGAGGCCAACACAGGGUGAAGACAUCAACAUCAGCACAAAGUUUGAGAACACUUGCUCCUGUAUUGUGGUGCCCAAGACUGCCAUCAUUGCCAAACACAUCUACCAGGCCAAUGGCUGCACCAAGGCCAUUGGCCUCCUCAGUGCGAGGAAACCACAUCAUCUCUGGUGUGUGUGAUGCCUGGCAGGGAAAGACCAUCAGAGUACCAAAAAUAGAACCAUCCAUGCUGAGCUGCAACAUCAUCUGUGUUUGCUUUGGUUUAUGUUGUUCUGAGUUUUGCUUCUGUUUCACAUCAUUCAACACCUGCAUACUCACACUCUUCACUCAUGCACAUUUUACACUACUGACUCCACUGAUUUUCCA